GACGAACGCUGGCGGCGUGCUUAACACAUGCAAGUCGAACGGAAAGGCCCUGCUUUUGUGGGGUGCUCGAGUGGCGAACGGGUGAGUAACACGUGAGUAACCUGCCCUUGACUUUGGGAUAACUUUAGGAAACUGGGGCUAAUACCGGAUAGGAGCUCCUGCUGCAUGGUGGGGGGUGGAAAGUUUCGGCGGUUGGGGAUGGACUCGCGGCUUAUCAGCUUGUUGGUGGGGUAGUGGCUUACCAAGGCUUUGACGGGUAGCCGGCCUGAGAGGGUGACCGGCCCCAUGGGGACUGAGAUACGGCCCAGACUCCUACCGGAGGCAGCAGUGGGGAAUAUUGCACAAUGGGCGGAAGCCUGAUGCAGCAACGCCGCGUGCGGGAUGACGGCCUUCGGGUUGUAAACCGCUUUCUCCUGUGACGAAGCGUGAGUGACGGUAAUGGGUAAGGAAGCACCGGCUAACUACGUG
rnacentral:rRNA from 1 species